GGCUUGAGAGGGUACUUUUUGUUUUGUGGGGGUAGGGGGGAUGGCUAUACCACCCGACAUUCCAGAUCUUAGUUCCCCGACCAGGGAUCAAGCUGCACUCCCUGCACUGGAUACUUGACGUCUUAACCACUGGACCUCCAGUGAGGCCCCUAGAAGGAGACCCCUCCACACCCCGCUCCGGAAAAGGCACCCAAACCAGAAACCACAGAUCUCACUCCAGUCCUAUUGAUCCUCUGCAGCAAAAGGCCAAAGGCAAAUAAACCAGUCACACAAGCAAAAGAGGCUGGAUCAAAGAGCCUCACCACUAGGCAUCCAAAGUUUGAGAGAGGAAAAUAGAAAAGUUAACCAAAUGCCUAACUUCAUGCAAAGAAUCAUAAUGCCGUUCUCCAGCUUACUGUGCAAACAGCAUAAAUACAGGAUGUAACUAACACCUGCCCACACUACUUGCUAGCCAGACUGGACACAAGCGCACCCGGAGGUCGGCGGGCGCCGGAGACACCUCUCCAGCGAGGGAAACCCGCAGAGACUCCUCUGGAGCCGCCGAGCCGGCGAGGAAGUAAAGCUCUGUUUUCUGCCUAUCGGUCCAGGCUUUCUCUCGGAUCCCCUCCGCCUCACCGCGCAGCGUACCUGCAGCCGCCGUUCUGCCCUUGAGCCCUCAGCUACCGCUCCGGAUCCCGGCACACGCAAGUCUGCUCUGCGGCUCCCCAGUCGCGCCAGCCUAGCUGCUGCCCUGGCGCCACUACGCAUGCCCGGCCGGCAUUCUGGCAGGCAGACUCCGAAUCCACUUGCCGCGUUUUGACUGCGGCUCCCGGGGGAAAGGACCCGAGGCCAAGAGCUGAAGUGGAGUUGCAGGUGCUGGGAGAGGCUAGGGGGAGAGGGGGAGAGGUGGAGGGGACCUGCGCAACUUUAUCCCUACUGCCCAAAGCGACCCAGGACACAUCCUCCGCCAAACCUAAAGAUGACCAUCUACACCACUUGAGUGAGCUUACAAGUGCUUCGCGAACUUGAUCGUGGAUAGGAAUCACCUGGAGGGGUUGUUGAACCACAGAUCCCACUCUCAAGAGUUCAGAUUCAAGUAGAUCUAGAUGAGGCCCCACCAUCUGCAUGUCUAACAUUUUCUCGGGGGAAACUGGCGCUGCUAAUUCGGAUACCACAUGCGAACUUC
ensembl:lncRNA